CGACUCUGGUUUCUCUUCAUUACGCACAAGCCUUUCGCCUUUUACUAAAGACUCCGUGGAGAGGAACACUUACGAGUUCAACAUAUUUUUGGAAGGGCUUUGCUUCUGGCAGAGCC
rnacentral:snRNA from 1 species